GAGGGUACAGCUCAGUGGUACAGCACGUGCUUAGCAGGCACGAGGUCCUGGGUUCCAUCCCCACUACUGCCA
rnacentral:tRNA from 1 species